CGCCUCCCCAGCGCGGCCAACCCCGGGCUGGCCCAGCCCCCGCCCCGGGCCGGCCAUAGGGCGUGGGGGGGGGGGCGGGGAGCGGGGGAGGGUGGGGGCCGGGCCGGGCUGGGGGGGGCGGGGGCGCGGCUUUGUGGCGGCAGCGGACCGUGGAGGCCGGGUGCAGCCCCGUCGGCUCCGCGCUCCGGCAGAAAGGGCUUUUCUACACCCCCCGCCCAUCACUUGGAUCUGGUCUGGUAUUCCUCGGGGUUCCCUGGGCCGGCCGUGGCAGCUGAGUUUCUCCAGCAACUAAAAGAAGAAAGAUGUCCCCCCCCCCCGCCCCCGCCCCCGCCCCCAACCCUCCUUUCUGGUCCCUGGGAGUGCUCCCCUCAUGGUGCUCAGAACUGGUUGGUGAUCACCACGGAAAAUAAAAAGAAUGCCAUCCGCAGAUGGUUGCUAAACAUGC